rnacentral:rRNA from 1 species
AUAUAAGUAAGCGGAGGACAAGAAACUAAAUAGGAUUCCCCCAGUAAUGGCGAAUGAACAGGGAAGAGCUCAGCAUGGAAAUCGGGGCCUCCCGGCCUUGAAUUGUAGUCUUGAGAUGUACUGCCAACGGAGGCGCAGAUGUAAGCCUCUUGGAAAAGAGCAUCAACGAGGGUGAGAGUCCCGUUUGUCAUCUGCAGUCCCCCGUGCACGGUGUACAUUCUAAGAGUCACGUUCCUCGGGAUUGGAGCGCAAAGUGGGUGGUAAAUUUCAUCUAAAGCUAAAUAUUGGUUCGAGACCGAUAGCAAACAAGUACCAUGAGGGAAAGGUGAAAAGGACUUUGAAAAGAGAGUUAAAAGUGCCUGAAAUUGCUGAAAGGGAAGCGAAUGGAACCAGUGUUCUUGAUGAGAUUGUCGCGUACUCUGGUGAUUGCUGGGUGCUCCACCGCAAGGGGGGCAUUUGGUUUUGAGCUAGAUGUGCGUGGUGUUUCUUGUCUUGUGUGUCACCGUCGGUGCACGAGCGAGUAAACCUCCAGGGAGAUGGUAACUCGUCUGCGGAUGUGUGAAUGUCUCUGGUAGUACUCAUUUGUGUAUCGAUCCCUGCGUGUCUGGUUGCAGUGUUUGAGUCGUCUGGAAGCUUCUGAAAGGCUUGCCCUCGAUGAACUUUCUGGGCUCCUUGAGCAUCUCCCUGACACAAAGACGAUGACUAAAUGGUUCUAUUCGACCCGUCUUGAA